UACGGAGGGAGCUAGCGUUGUUCGGAUAUACUGGGCGUAAAGCGCACGUAGGCGGCGCAGCAAGUCAGGGGUGAAAUCCCGGAGCUCAACUCCGGAACUGCCUUUGAAACUGCAGUGCUAGAAUUCUGGAGAGGCGAGUGGAAUUCCGAGUGUAGAGGUGAAAUUCGUAGAUAUUCGGAGGAACACCAGUGGCGAAGGCGGCUCACUGGUCCAUUACUGACGCUGAGGUGCGAAAGCGUGGGGAGCAAACAGGG
rnacentral:rRNA from 1 species